GUGAAAACCCCUGCGUAUUCCUGGCAAAGAAGGAAAGAGAGGGAGGGAAAGAGAGAGAGAGGGGCGGGGAAUGAGCUGUUGUUGCCCCUCUCCCUCCCCGUUGCCGCCAAAGAGGAGCGAGAUUUGAACUUUCCUUGGCCAAAUCUCGCAAAAUUGUUUGGAUCUUUGCCCGAUUCAAUCCAAGACCUUGGUCCGCCUUCUCUAGCCUUGAAGCCAUCGUCUUUCGACCCAAAAACUUAAAUUUCUGACCAAACCAGUGGCGACCCGUGAUCCAACAAGAUCCAAAUUGCAUGUUUUUCUUCAAUUGAUUAUGUGGAGGACUUUGACGGAGGAAGGCUGAAUGUUUGGCUACGGAGGAAGACCAGUCAAGAGAGACAAAGUCUUGAAACGUGAGUGAUGGACCGUGGGCAUGGGUGUGUUACUCAAUGGCAGGAAUUCAGGCGAAAUUCAGGUGAUUUUCACUCCAAUAUUCUACCGUAUGGAAUGCGUACCCAAAACCACUGACAUGGCGAAGGAUUGUAAGGCUACCUCCUUAUCAUGGUUUAUUGUACCUAUUAUCCUCUACUGUCUCAAAAUCUCAGACCGUGAGCAUAAGGAGAAUAUAAUCUAUUUCAUCAUUUUUUUUUCUACUAAAGAGAAAAGAAAAGAAAGUUUUCACUUUGAUUUUCAUCAGCUAUCCUGUCCCUGAUUUAUCCUACGGAGCAUGCCAUUGUAUUUGCUAUUAUCAUGGUAUGAAAGUAGCCAUUAAGUUUUUACUUUACCUUUUUGUCUCGUGACCCAACCUGGUGCUGGAGGAAGAAGCAUUGGUGUUGGUGUCAGUGACGGUGUGGGGGCGGAUUCGGAUUGUAUCUGGUAAAACGGGUAAGUUUCGUACCGAAGAUUACAACUUGGAUACAGAACUCUACCCCCUCUACUCACUUGCUUUACAUCACAACACUUCGGUAGGUUUGUCAUGGCUCCUCGAAGACACAUAUUGCAAUCAGAGCUGGAUAUGUCAGGGGUGCACUGGACAAGGCUGUAUAGUGUAUUGGAUUCUGUAAAACUGACUUCUUUGGUAGCAAACUUUUUAACACCAGAUGGAUCAUUUGCGGCCUGGGGCACCGAGUCAUUCAACGUGGCUUCCACCAGCUUAUUGAAGCGGUCUUGCUCUGUUAUAUUCCUCAAAUUCCACAGUAAAUAGCUGGGCUCUUCCUCCAUGGUGGAAAAGAAUGACCGGUUUGAGUAGCGUAGCAUGCAUUCGUCAUACCAUAUCACGGCCACUUUUCCUACGGGACAGUACGGCUGAACAAUCUCUCUGGUUGCAGUUGCCACACAGUCUUGGCAGGCAUUGGUGGUGAGGUCACCACGGCAGAGGAAGAGGCCGUAAAUUGUGGUUGCGGGGCUUUGGCCGGCAAUGGCGUUGUAGAAACCACUUUCACGCGUGGCAUUGGAGGAAAGGGAAGAGAGCAGGUAGUUCAGGUUAAACUGGUAGGUGCUGUUGGGGGUGAAAGUGCUUUCAUUUGAGCAGAAAUGGUAGCGGUAAUGUGGGACUUGUGCACUGGUGAGGCUAAGGAAGCUAAGCAAGGAAAGAAUUACUGGGAUCAUGGAGGUAUUGAAAGAAGGCAUGGCCAAUUUUUUUUUAUUAGCAAGAGUUUCUUUUCCAAUUUUCUUAUUUUUCUUGGAAAAUGUCUGUCAUUAACGAGAUCAAUGGAACCUGGACACGAGUGUUUACAGGGCAAGCAUUGUUGACGCCAGUCAACGAAAGGAAGUCAAGCCACUUCAUUAUCCCUUCUAUGCCCCUGCCAGAGAGAAGGUCAACAAGGCAUGGGGAAAAGGACGAAAAGUCAUUUUAAGUUCGCCUAACACGGAUGGACUUUUAUUUUUUGGUUUUUUUUUUUUUGUUUUUUAGUGAUGUGAUAAAUGAAUAUAAAGAGUAUUAUUAUUCUAA